UACGGAGGAUCCGAGCGUUAUCCGGAUUUAUUGGGUUUAAAGGGAGCGUAGGUGGAUUGUUAAGUCAGUUGUGGAAGUUUGCGGCUCAACCGUAAAAUUGCAGUUGAAACUGGCAGUCUUGAGUACAGUAGAGGUGGGCGGAAUUCGUGGUGUAGCGGUGAAAUGCUUAGAUAUCACGAAGAACUCCGAUUGCGAAGGCAGCUCACUGGACUGCAACUGACACUGAGGCUCGAAAGUGUGGGUAUCAAACAGG
rnacentral:rRNA from 1 species